rnacentral:rRNA from 1 species
GAUGAACGCUAGCGGCAGGCCUAAUACAUGCAAGUCGAACGGUGUAGCAAUACACAGUGGCGCACGGGUGCGUAACACGUAUGCAACCUACCUUACAUUGGGGGAUAGCCUUUCGAAAGGGAGAUUAAUACCGCAUAAGACAGUAACUGGGCAUCCAGUAGCUGUUAAAGAUUUAUCGAUGUAAGCUGGGCAUGCGUCCAAUUAGUUAGUUGGCGAGGUAAUGGCUCACCAAGACGAUGAUUGGUAGGGGAACUGAGAGGUCAAUCCCCCGCACUGGCACUGAGAUACGGGCCAGACUCCCACGGGAGGCAGCAGUAGGGAAUAUUGGGCAAUGGGCGCAAGCCUGACCCAGCCAUGCCGCGUGCAGGAAGAAGGCGUUAUGCGUUGUAAACUGCUUUUAUACAGGAAGAAACGACCCUUGCGAGGGGCAUUGACGGUACUGUAUGGAUAAGCACCGGCUAACUCCGUGCCAGCCGCCGCUGUAACAC